rnacentral:lncRNA from 1 species
UCCUCCCCACGACUCAGCUUCUUCCCUCUCCCCUCCACUCCAGGCUCGGAUGAGGUGCAGGUUGGACAGCAGCGCACGUUCAUCAGCCCCAUCAAGUGCAGAGAAGCCCUGAAGCUGGAGGAGAAGAAACACUACCUCAUGUGGGGUCUCUCCUCCGAUUUCUGGGGAGAGAAGCCCAACCUCAGCUACAUCAUCGGGAAGGACACUUGGGUGGAGCACUGGCCCGAGGAGGACGAAUGCCAAGACGAAGAGAACCAGAAACAAUGCCAGGACCUCGGCGCCUUCACCGAGAGCAUGGUUGUCUUUGGGUGCCCCAACUGACCACACCCCCAUUCCCCCACUCCAGAUAAAGCUUCAGUUAUAUCUCA